rnacentral:rRNA from 1 species
UACGUAGGAUGCAAGCGUUGUCCGGAGUCAUUGGGCGUAAAGCGCGUGUCGGCGGCCUACUAAGUCUGAUGUGAAAGUCCGGGGCUCAACCCCGGAAGUGCAUUGGAUACUGGUUGGCUAGAGGGCGAGAGAGGGAAGUGGAAUUCCUGGUGUAGGGGUGAAAUCCGUAGAUAUCAGGAGGAACAUCGGUGGCGAAGGCGGCUUCCUGGCUCGUUUCUGUCGCGCAGACGCGAAAGCGUGGCUAGCAAACAGG